rnacentral:rRNA from 1 species
GGGGCUAGCGUUGUUCGGGAUUACUGGGCGUAAAGCGUCCGUAGGCGGAUUGUUAAGUGAGGGGUGAAAUCCCGAGGCUCAACCUCGGAACUGCCUUUCAUACUGGCAAUCUUGAGUCCGGGAGAGGUGAGUGGAACUCCUAGUGUAGAGGUGAAAUUCGUAGAUAUUAGGAAGAACACCAGUGGCGAAGGCGGCUCACUGGCCCGGAACUGACGCUGAGGUACGAAAGCGUGGGGAGCAAACAGG